rnacentral:rRNA from 1 species
GAAGAACCUUUCCACCCCUUGACAUCCUUGGAAAUGCCUGGAGACAGGCAGGUGCCUUCGGGAACCGAGUGACAGGUGGUGCAUGGCUGUUGUCAGCUCGUGUCGUGAGAUGUUGGGUUAAGUCCCGUAACGAGCGCAACCCUUGUCCUUAUUUGCCAGCGGGUCAGGCCGGGAACUCUAGGGAGACUGCCGGUGACAAACCGGAGGAAGGUGGGGGAUGACGUCAAGUCAUCAUGGCCCUCACGGGGUGGGCUACAAACGUGCUACAAUGGGCGGCACAUAGGGUUGAACCAGCAAUGGCAAGCGAAUCCCAAAAAACCGCUCGUUCCGGAUAGGAGUCUGCAACUCGACUCCUUGAAGUCGGAAUCGCUAGUAAUCGCGAAUCAGA